rnacentral:rRNA from 1 species
AUGGUGGUCCGGAUCCGGCUCGCGCGGUUCGGCUGCCGCAACCGGCCCUUCUACCGGGUGAUGGCCGCCGACAGCCGCUCCCCGCGCGACGGCAAGCACCUCGAGGUCCUCGGCUACUACAACCCGCUCCCCGGGAAGGAUGGUGGCAAGAGGAUGGGGCUCAAGUUCGACCGGGUCAAGUACUGGCUAUCUGUUGGGGCACAACCAUCAGAUCCUGUGCAGCGUAUCCUCUUCCGUGCCGGUGUUCUGCCGCCACCUCCGUUGCUAGCUAUGGGCCGGAAGGGUGGACCUCGUGACAGGAACCCCAUUCAUCCGAUGACUGGCCGUCCCUUGGAUCUUGAGGGUGUCUCGAUUGUCGAUGAUCCCAAUGCUGCUGAAGGUGAUGCUGAAGCACCUACAGAACCUUCGUUGGAGGCGUGA